CUUGAGCGAGCCGAUCCGCACCGGACGGUCCGCGGGCCGGUCCUGCCCGUACGUCGCCAGCAGCGCCUGCGCCUC
rnacentral:antisense_RNA from 1 species